ACCUGGGUGGCUCAGUCGGUUAAGUGUCUGACUUCAGCUCAGGUCAUGAUCUCACGGUUCGUGGGUUCGAGGCCCGUGUCAGGUU
rfam:Felis catus isolate Cinnamon breed Abyssinian chromosome A2, whole genome shotgun sequence.